UACGCGGAUAAUUUUAUUACAUCCAAAUCGGUUAUGAGCUAGUUAUAAGAUGGUUAUAAGUGUUAUUUAUUAAUAGAUUUUUCCAAUAAGUUGAAGUAUUAAUGUCGUUUUAAUUGGGUACUAUAUUAUAAAUAAUUUUGUUUCUAUUGGUCGAGAAAUGUUGGAAAAUGUGAUGUGUUAUUCUCUAAAGGCAGGCAAAACAGCAAAAUGAGAGUGGAAUUGUCGUUUCUGGUACUGUUGACGCUGGUGGUGGCGACGACGGGGCGGCCCCCCGACCCCUCUCCCCCGCCCUCCCCCACAGAAUCCUUUAUAGAGGUGAGCAGCGUGAGGUGCGGUCCAGCGAACCUGUACUGCGGCUCCGCGGCGGCCAUCUCCGCGCCCGACCCCAACGACAUACACCAUCAGCCCCACUUCGGAUAUUCUGGCUGAUUUACUAUAUUCUGGAUCAUUUCCCGACGCUUAUCGAAUCAUUGGGUACUUAGUCGAAUUGCAUUCGAUAGUUUCGACAAAAAAUUAGUAAUAAAUGGCCUUUUUAGGUUUCCGUAAACC